rnacentral:lncRNA from 1 species
AAAAAUAUGUCGAUAUUUGUCUUGUUCGAAAGACCUGGUCAUUAGAAUUUCAAAUAUAUAAAUAUUGCAAAAAUUAAUUUUUGAUUCAAAAUAUAUGAAGUGUGUUAAGUAUCACUAAGAAGUAAAAGACCAACCUUGUGUAUGGGAGAUAGAGGAGAAAGAACAAUAGAGCCAUGCAUGCACCCUGCAUACUCUCUAACAAAAAGGUGGGACACACAUGGUUUUUUUUUGCUUGGUACACAUGGUUAUUAGAUAGUGCUAAACGGGAUGUGAUGUUGCCAAUACAGUACAGUACUUUUUGUGUGCGCCCUUACAAUACUGGUCUCGACACGAUUGGAUGGGGGAUCCUUCCAUGAUAGAUACUCUCACCUUGAAAAACAUUUUAGCCAAGCAAAUUCUGUAUUUCUGCAACUGAAACGAUAAUGGCAUGAUGUUGUCAUCCAGGCCAACAAAAGAAGGACCAUAGCUAUUGCUUUUCUGGUUCUUAUAAUGAUGCCUUCCUUUGCCUUGCCAUGUCAUAGAAGAAGACAUCGUCAUAAGGACCCGCACAAGAGGGCACCCUCACAAGGACAAGGAAAGCAACGGCCAUGGUUCUCCUUGUGUUUUCCCUGGUUGAUGGGUGCCAUGAGGAGAAUAGUCGUCUAUUUAACUUGGGUUUGCAAGUCCUUCCUUGUGUUGCGUUUGGUGUGUUGUGCCCGUUGUUUAUAUAGGGGCGAUAUCUUGGACAAAUAUUGCUCAAUAGUAUUAUGUACCUAUCUAUCUCCUAAAUUAAUGUUGAGAUAUCCCUCUCCGCUGCUUCUUCCAUUAAUGCCGUGUAUGUUUUUGUAAGAAUUAAUUGUAUUAAUUUGUUCUUAUUUUCAAG